rnacentral:lncRNA from 15 species
CAUCUAUUUGUGACUCUGCUUUUAUUGGAAAGUUUUACGGUACAUUCAAACAUAUUCAACCUCUGCAUUAGAAGCUCUGACGCUGAGGAAACUGAUCACAACAUUGCGCUCCAAGCUUACGCUGGAUGUUUAUCACUAAUGUAAAUCAACAUUUCCUGUUAUAUUCAGUGUAUUUUUCAGUAUUAUUUCCACUAAGGAGGACAGAGGGGCACUGAAGGCUUUUGUUUGUGGUUCAUGUUUGAUUAAAAGAAGAAUAAAGAAUUAAAUAUUAAUAUCACAGAUGGAGCAGGCAGUAUUAGGAGCUACCGUCUGUAUAUUUUACUGAGAAGCAGAAGAGGAGGAAGAGGGUUGGCGCUACCUUAGUGUCUGUCUCUGGCUGAAUGAUUUACCAAACGCCUCCUCAGGUACCAUCGCCUCUGCAGGACUGAUCAAGUAGUCCUGCAGGAGGAAGUGUGUGAGAGCGCCGGGGAGCCCGAGAGGUCGACCUGCAUCCAUCACACCAUCUUCCAACCCGGGUUGUGAAUGAUUGCCGCCGAUUGUGCCAAAAAUCACAAGGAAGAACGGUGAAGGAUGGAGGAGCCUUCGGUUCACACCCGCUGAGGUGACGGCGAUGAGACAAAAUCCUCACAAAAACGUUCCAGCUCUAUCUCGCCGCUACAUCACCGGAGGCUUAACGGCGCUCCAGGAGAACACGGAGGACCUGAAAACUAACAUUACGAGUGGAUCAGGGAUAUGCAGCAGGUUGUCUUCCAUGGAGUCCACCAAACAUUGGCUCUGGAUGUUCCCCAGGUCUUCAAAUACAGACGCGAGCAGUGUUCAGUUAGUUGUACGUCUGUAACUUAAGCGUUAGAUGUCAUUUAGAAUCCUACGCACUGGUCCUUUAAGGUUAUUGUACUAGACCAGUGGUUCCCAAUCUUUGUCCUUAAGGGACCCCUUUUCUAUCAUUUGUUAAACUGACUAAGCAGUUUAUGGAUAUUUCAUAUUAUAUUAGCUGAUUAUUUCCUACAUAUAGAACUUUUUAUACUGUCUGUAAUAUGUAUUAUUAUUAUUUUUUUAAGACUUAAUCUGCUUCUUUUUUUUAUGUGUUUUGUGUUUUAUUGUCCCGACACUUGUUCUAUUAGACAAAUUACUUUACCUUUCUUCACAGAAAUAAAC